rnacentral:rRNA from 1 species
AGCCGGAAAUGGAAAAGCCGGUGCAAGCGAGGUAUCCGUAAGGGAGGCAAAUCCCCCUUACAAGGAGAAGACGUAAUGCGGAGUGAACUAUAAGUAACGAAGCUGGUGAGCUAGCUGCCAAGAAAAGCCGCUAUUGUUUUGUAUGUGCCCGUACCGUAAACCGACACAGGUGGAUGAGGAGAGAAUCCUAAGGCCGGCGGGAGAAGUGUUGUUAAGGAACUCGGCAAAAUGACUCCGUAACUUCGGGAGAAGGAGUGCCAUAGAGAUAUGGCCGCAGAGAAAUGGCCCAAGCAACUGUUUUGCAAAAACACAGGUCUAUGCAAAACCGAAAGGUGAGGUAUAUGGGCUGACGCCUGCCCGGUGCUGGAAGGUUAAGAGGAGAGCUUAGCGCAAGCGAAGGUUUGAAUUUAAGCCCCAGUAAACGGCGGCCGUAACAAUAACGGUCCUAAGGUAGCGAAAUUCCUUGUCGGGUAAGUUCCGACCCGCACGAAAGGCGUAAUGAUUUGGGCACUGUCUCGACAACACACCCGGUGAAAUUGAAAUACCAGUGAAGAUGCUGGUUACCUGCGCCAGGACGGAAAGACCCCAUGGAGCUUUACUCCAGUUUGAUACUGGGAUUCGGUACUGUCUGUACAGGAUAGGUGGGAAGCUAGGAAAUGAUGACGCCAGUUGUCAUGGAGCUGACCUUGGGAUACCACCCUUACAGUACUGGGUUUCUAACCUGCAGCCGUGACCCGGCUGGGGGACAAUGUCUGACGGGGAGUUUGACUGGGGCGGUCGCCUCCGAAAGGGUAUCGGAGGCGCUCAAAGGUUCCCUCAGAAUGGUCGGAAACCAUUCGAAGAGUGCAAAGGCAGAAGGGAGCUUGACUGCGACACCGACGGGUGGAGCAGGUACGAAAGUAGGACUUAGUGAUCCGGUGGUAUAACGUGGGAUUGUCAUCGCUCAACGGAUAAAAGCUACCCUGGGAUAACAGGCUUAUCACUCCCAAGAGUUCACAUCGACGGAGUGGUUUGGCACCUCGAUGUCGGCUCAUCGCAUCCUGGAGCUGUAGCAGGUUCCAAGGGUUGGGCUGUUCGCCCAUUAAAGCGGUACGCGAGCUGGGUUCAGAACGUCGUGAGACAGUUCGGUCCCUAUCCGGCGUGGGCGUAGGAUAUUUGAGAGGAGCUGUCCUUAGUACGAGAGGACCGGGAUGGACGGACCGCUGGUGUAUCUGUUGUUGACCAACAGCAUGGCAGAGUAGCCAAGUCCGGCAGGGAUAAACGCUGAAGGCAUCUAAGCGUGAAGCCCCCCUCAAGAUUAGAUAUCCCAUUCUUUAAAGAAAUAAGACCCCUUGAAGACUACGAGGUUGAUAGGUCUGAGGUGUAAGUGCGGUAACGCAUUCAGCUGACAGAUACUAAUAGGUCGAAGACUUACC